GAUGAACGCUGGCGGCGUGCUUAACACAUGCAAGUCGAGCGAACAGACGAGGAGCUUGCUCCUUUGACGUUAGCGGCGGACGGGUGAGUAACACGUAGGUAAUCCACCUAUAAGACUGGGAUAACUUCGGGAAACCGGAGCAUAUACCGGAUAAUAUUUCGAACCGCAUGGUUCGAUAGUGAAAGAUGGCUUUGCUAUCACGUAUAGAUGGACCUGCGCCGUAUUAGCUAGUUGGUAAGGUAACGGCUUACCAAGGCAACGAUACGUAGCCGACGUGAGAGGGGGAUCGGCCACACUGGAACUGGGACACGGUCCAGACUCCUACGGGAGGCAGCAGUAGGGAAUCUUCCGCAAUGGGCGAAAGCCUGACAGAGCGACGCCGCGUGAGUGAUGAAGGUCUUCGGAUCGUGAAGCUCUGUUAUUAGGGAGAAACAGACGUGUAAGUAACUGUGCACGUCUUGACGGUACCUGGUCAGGAAGCCACGGCUAACUACGUG
rnacentral:rRNA from 1 species